rnacentral:rRNA from 1 species
AACGAACGCUGGCGGCAGGCUUAACACAUGCAAGUCGAGCGCCCCGCAAGGGGAGCGGCAGACGGGUGAGUAACGCGUGGGAAUCUACCCAUCUCUACGGAAUAACGCAUGGAAACGUGUGCUAAUACCGUAUACGUCCUUCGGGAGAAAGAUUUAUCGGAGCUGGAUGAGCCCGCGUUGGAUUAGCUAGUUGGUGGGGUAAAGGCCUACCAAGGCGACGAUCCAUAGCUGGUCUGAGAGGAUGAUCAGCCACACUGGGACUGAGACACGGCCCAGACUCCUACGGGAGGCAGCAGUGGGGAAUAUUGGACAAUGGGCGCAAGCCUGAUCCAGCCAUGCCGCGUGAUUGAUGAAGGCCCUAGGGUUGUAAAGCUCUUUCACCGGUGAAGAUAAUGACGGUAACCGGAGAAGAAGCCCCGGCUAACUUCGUGCCAGCCGCCGCCGUAAGAC